UACGUAGGGGGCAAGCGUUGUCCGGAUUCAUUGGGCGUAAAGAGCGUGUAGGCGGCCAGGUAGGUCGGUUGUGAAAACUGGAGGCUCAACCUUCAGAGGUCGACCGAAACCAUCUGGCUAGAGUCCGGGAGAGGAGAGUGGAAUUCCUGGUGUAGCGGUGAAAUGCGCAGAUAUCAGGAAGAACACCCGUGGCGAAGGCGGGUCUCUGGGCCGAUACUGACGCUGAGGAGCGAAAGCAUGGGUAGCGAACAGG
rnacentral:rRNA from 1 species